rnacentral:lncRNA from 1 species
GGUGGUCCAAGUGCAAUCUAAUGGCCAAAAAUUAAUGAUAUGGGUAUACUACAAAUUCUAAGGAUUUUAAGACUCCUUUUGCUACCAAAAAAAGGUAAAAAAUUUAUUUAUAAAUAGGAGAUCCAAAAAUAAGAGUGGAGAGAAGACAAAAUCAGUGAAAAAAUUAAAAAAAAUAGAAAAAAAUUAGAUAAGUUUAAGAAUCCAAAGAGA